UACGACCUGGUGUGAACAUGCACGCGGACCUUUGGCAUCCGAGGAAUAGGUAACCCUAUGGUUGUAA
rnacentral:tRNA from 1 species